GAAGAGAAGAGAAGAGAGAAGAGGACCUAUGUAAUGUGCUGCUUAUUACCAGCCUGAGUUGGGUUUGCAGUUGUUAGCGGUCCACCUAUCAAUAUCAAAAGAAAGCAAGACUUGGCAAUCAGCUGAUGACUCUUCUCCCUACUGAUCUUGUGUAAGUUGAAACCUUGGGCUGACAAAGGAUAUUGUAAAAACAGUUAUCUAAAACUGCCUGGAGCUCUCUGGCAGAAUCAGGCCAAGGGGCUUGAUUCUAACCCUGCAAAUGGUAGUAAAGCUUUGCGGUUGGCUAUUGACAGAGUAGGAUUAGAUCUGGUUCUGUAAAGUUGCUGAAACUACAGAAAAUGAAGACCUCAUUAUUUAUUAGUUUUACUUCUUAGUUCACAAUAUGCUUUUUUCUCAAAAAGUAAGGAUAAGGUCAAUGAUGGGACCCUGAAGCUUUCCCUGAAAGAACUGUAGGGAGCAAGAGCAGGGCCAUUUAGCUUAGACACAGAGGUCAGAUGUACACUUUCCAUAGGUCAGACAUAUACCCUCUAUACUAUAUUCUGUGCUCUCAGAAUAGUGCAGCCGACAGUGAGGGACCCUCUGUUCUAAGAGUUGUCAGGUGUAUUUCAAUAAAUACUGAAACCAUGGAGAGUUUUCUGAGCCUUAUAUGAAACACCAGAGAAUCUGGAGUUUGCUGCAAGCAAUUUGUAACCUCCUUAGAGAACCAGGAUUAUCAGCCUUACUCGCCUAUCACGCUCUACCCACUUUUUGGGUCAAGGAGUCAUCAAAAUAGGGUCAAAGGACUAGCUCAUUAUUUCCAGUCUUCUCAGCAGUCUGUUCUGAGUGUGGCCGUUGGCUUCUCUGUGACGUAAAUGGCAUUGUUUGUGAAACAAUAUAACGCUUAUAAUUUGUAAAGCACCACGAAUUGUGCAUGCAGAAGAUAUUCAAUAAGCAUUAACAGCUGUUAUUUAGUGCAACAACCUUUUAUAAAAUUCCAAGGAUACGGACUAUUUGUUGAACAAUAAAAUCACAGUUUCUACGGUGGCCUUACGUAAACCACAUAUGAAAACACCAAUAAUUUGUCCAGAGAUCAAUCAAUACAGAAAUUAAAAUUUAAUAUUUAAUCUGCUACUUCUGAAGGAGCAGCACUUGCAGAGGGACCGCGGUAAAAAGAAGCCGUAAGCAGCAGCGGCUCGUUACCACACGGGCACGUCCACAAGGCGCCACAGGGCCCGGCACAGGCCGGAGCCGGGCCCGGCGCUGCGGAACAGGCCCCCUGGGGCGGCACCCGCCUGGCGAGGGCCCCCGCGAGCCGCCCGCCCGGCCUGCGCCGCGAAAUGGCCGCGGCUCCGUUGGUUGUGUGCCGCGAGGGGAGCCUGUGCCCUCACCGCGGCCGUCAGGGGAGAAGGAGCAGCCCGGGCUGCAGAAGGGCUCUCCGGUUUUGUGGACGCUAAAACGCGAAUGGUAGAAUGACCCGAGUGGGAAGGGACCCAGACGGAUCGUCGAGUCCAACUGCAGGACCACCCAAACGUCAGACCGUAUGUGGUGACUGUUCAUUCCAGGAAACCUCAUUAAUACUAAUUUUAGCUUCUCAUUAAACCUCUGUUAAGAAAUACGUUGAAAAUAAAAACUGACACAACUGUCAGGUCAGUAAUGAAAUGAGCUGAAUAAAUCACAUGCCUUUUAAAAGGAAUUCUCAAGAGGAGGUCUGCAAUGUUUAAGCCCUGAAAAGAAAGACAGUGCACCUGAGAAAAUAAAAGGCUGAAAUAAACAUUGUCUCAAUGUUAGGGCCAGAUUAGUUUGGUGAAAAACCUCAGAAAGUGAACAAAAAGUGCCUGGAAUAGAAGGAUGUCGGGGCUUCCAAAACGAAGCUCCAAAAGGUCAACAAUAAUUUCCUUUUCUGACGUGUAAAAAAUAAAGUUGUAUUAAAAUCA